UACGGAGGGGGCUAGCGUUGUUCGGAAUUACUGGGCGUAAAGCGCACGUAGGCGGCUUUGCAAGUCAGAGGUGAAAGCCCGGGGCUCAACCCCGGAAUUGCCUUUGAGACUGCAUCGCUAGAAUUGUGGAGAGGUAAGUGGAAUUCCGAGUGUAGAGGUGAAAUUCGUAGAUAUCGGGAGGAACACCUGUGGCGAAAGCGGCUCACUGGACCACUACUGACGCUGAUGCGCGAAAGCUAGGGGAGCAAACAGG
rnacentral:rRNA from 1 species